AUGAAUUAUAAAUAUGAAAUCUUUUCUCGGGGCAAUUCCCACCAACCAAGGUGGGGAGAAGAGCAAGGACUGUGUGCGAGACAUCCUUCUUCCGAAACAUGCUUUGUUAAGGUGAGCGUCGUUGAGAAGCAGAUGAAAUGUCCCACCUGCUGCUGGUUUGAUGCAUUCUUUCUGAUGAGAAGGAUGAAGACUGUGUCUGACAGAGCCAAACUUAAAAAAAAAAACAAAAAAAACCCUUUGAGGCAAUACACUCCAGUUAAGAAUCGGUGAAGAAUGUCAGAAACGGCGUUAUGGCAGAUACGCAGUCCAUGAAACCCUGGUGCACAAGGACUUGAGAGGCUCAGUGAAGGUGCUGUUG
rnacentral:lncRNA from 1 species